rnacentral:rRNA from 1 species
GACAGAGGAGCCAAGCGUUGUCCGGAUUGACUGGGCGUAAAGCGCACGCAGGCGGAGUGCGCGCGUGGGGUGUGAAAUCUGGCCGCUUAACGGCCAGGCGCCAUCCCAUACGGCGCGUCUGGAGUGAUGCAGAGGUCGAUGGAAUUGCCGGUGUAGUGGUGAAAUGCGUAGAUAUCGAGAGGAACACCUGCGGCGAAGGCGGGUUGCUGGGCGUGACACUGACGCUGGAAGUGCGAAAGCUAGGGGAGCGAACGGG